UGCAAGCGUCAUUGAUGUACUUAUAACUGAUAAUCUUCCCGUACUUUAACUUUUGCCGCAAAUAUACCUUACUAUGAUACGUGCCACUUUAUUUUAACGUUAAACCAGGACAACGUUAUCAAUACAAUGCGUGAUACUGACUGGUGUUCCAUUGGGAAUUCGCGUUAUCCUGAAAUAGCACUAGAUAAUUUCUGCUCCUUGUUUCUUACACGCAGUGCCUAUACUGUGGACCAGCCAACAAAAUGCGCUUCAGCUUUAUUUUGUGGACGAGACCACAGGAUAAACUCUCACUUUAUUCUGUGGACCAGACCACGAAAUACACUUCAGCUUUAUUUUGUUGGGUAGUGCGGUAGUUCCCCCUCUCGGUCGGUUGCGCUGGCGAACAUUGAGCGAUUGAGGUCUGCUGCGCUGUCUAGUGCCUGCUUCGGAAGUCAGCACGUCCUUGUGCUGUGCGUUGUAUGCUAUGAAAGCGGGACGAAAGCUCUCCUCGCUUGAGGAACACCGAUGGGCAAUAGCCGAGUAUGAGCGCACGGUUUACGCCGAAUUUUGGAUUACUAUGUCGCGAACCGUUCAUGCUGCAAGAAAAAAAGGCAUCACAGGUCCCAUUGACGAGAACCUGACCUACUACAGUGUGACGUAUAGCUGCAAGCACGGCGGAAGAACGCACAAAUCCGUGUCAACAAGUGCUCGUCCUAAACAAAUGUAAGUUAUUGACUCCUCCGCAUAUUUAGUUCACUUUGUAGACCUUUUACGAGUUUUGAAAUAAUGGCGGGUAUAGCAUGGUACAAGAAUGGCGUACACCAUGUGGAAAGCCGUGAAUCCAUGUGGCAGGAGGAAUGUAACUUCUCCGCUCCUAUGUGCGAGGUGUGACACUAAAGAAAUGAGACUAAGUGUGUAGCUUGAAAGAAGAUUGGAGUUGGCAACAACUGUUUCGCUGACGUAAUCCGCCUCACCUCCUCUACUCACGCGUCCAGCUUCGACAGAAGCGAUCACGCCAAUUGGGAGCGCUGCGUCAUUGAGUGAACAUAUGCAACUGCAUUCUGGCGUAAAAAUGUCUGAUGUAAAAACCGAAGAGUGAACCAACAUCAAGUUUCUUGUGAAACUUAAUAAAUCAGCCACGGAAACAUUUCAUAUAAUAACCAAGGCUUAUGGAGAUGUAACUUUGUCUCGUGCACGUGUUUUUCAAUGGCAUAAGCGGUUUUCCGGGGGAAGGGACAGUGUGGAAGAUGAACGUGCUGGGCCCCCAAGGUCAGCGAUUACAGACCAAAACAUUGCCAAAGUUCGUGAUGUGAUCAGUUGUGACCGAAGAUUGAGUGCUCGAGCAGUGGCGGAGUUGGUUCACUUGGAUAGGGAAGCUGUUCGACGCGUUUUAAUGGACGAGUUACACAUGACGAAGAUUUGUGCGAAGGUUGUUCCAAAAGUUCUGUCCGUUAACCAAAAACAGUGCCGUAAAGACGUGUUUGUGGACAUGUUAGAACGCAUUGAUAACGGGCCAAAUUUGUUGAAAUGUGGUGUAACAUGUGAUGAGACAUGUAUUUUUACCUAUGACGCAGAAAGUAAGCGCCAGUCAAUGCAGUGGAAGUCUCCAGGAUCCCCAAGACUCAAAACAGCACGCAUGUAAAAAUAAAAAUUCAAGGCAAUGUUAAUUGUCUUCUUCGAAAUUAAUGAAAUUGUAAUGAUUGAGUGGAUUCCCAAUGGUCAGACUGUUCAUGAACACUACUACAUUGAAGUAUUAAAGGCUUCGUGAAAAAAUUGGGAAGUGUCAGGAUUGGGGGCUCAAUCCCAUCGCUCGUGGUCCGUUGUCAGGAUUGGAGUCCGGCAUGAAUUCGAAGGUAGCUGGCCCAUGCCGUCGUCCAACUUAUCCACGCUGAGGACGUUGAUGAAGCGAAGAACUGCUUCUCAUCGAGAACGAGGAAAAUGGGUUCAUUUACAGUAUUUAAAUCAGUCUUACAUGACUGCUUGAGAAAAAGAGUGUCAGUCCAACAUGACUGCUCAAGAGAAAAUGUCAGUCCAACAUGACUGCACGAGAGAAGUGUAUCGAGCAUCCGCACAACAGCCGUUUUUAAACACUCGGUCCGCCGGCGAUACGUGGCGGCAAAGGUUCGUUUCGUCAUCGCAAAACUAGCCGCCUCCCGCGAAACAAGGUGACGCGAGCGUUCGUUUACUCAUUGUAAAUUCGCCGCCGCCCCGAAGAACAGUUUACGCACACAAAGGCACACACAUUCCGAGGUCUGGAGCCGACGUCAGAGGGGAGUCGUUCCGGGUACCUCGGAGACAUUCUGGGUAGCUCGUUGUCCCGCUGCGGCUUGCUCACGCGUAGCAAAUCAGGUCGGCGCUGGGGACCUCGGGCACAAUAGUUCGUCCGUCGAACCCGUUUCGUCACAACGGCGAUGGGGCUGGUGGAUGGAGGCGGUUUUCAGCACAAAGCCCGCUUUUUCGAACGCAGCCUAGCUGCAGCGACGGAGAGUGGGGGAUGCGCGUCUUGUCCCCCAGUCGUAAUUGGGUGGCAAUUUUUCCUUGCAGCUCGCCAUUCUUAACAGAAGGAAAGUCACAGUUGUGGAGUGAUAGAUGGCUAUUGCACCAGGACAAUGAACCCGCUCACACGGCCCUAUCUCUCAAGCAGUUUCUGACCAGCAAAAACAUUACUGUGAUGGGGAAUCCUCCUUAUUCACCUGAUUUGGCUCGAUGCGACCUUGUUUUACUUCCUAAAGUUAAAUCUUGCUUAAAGGGGACCCGUUUUACCUCAGUUGAAGAGGUUCAGGCAAAAACGGAGAAUCUCCUAAAGGGCCUUCCAAAAACCUCGUUCCAGAACUGUUACCACUACCAGUGCGAAAGUAUCAAUAAGCAGUACAACUGUUGAAGGCAUUGAAGAAAAGCACUGGAGAAAGAAGAGAGGUGUGACUUGCUGAAAUAGCAGCACAUGAUGGUUCAGACGACGUCAUGCAAGUCAUAGACAGUACAAGCCAGCCCGUGGACAUGCCUGCACCCAGCAAAGGAACAACAGGGCCUGUGUCGCUACUCACUCUUGAAGGAGUACCGGCAGCAGUAUUACAGCAAACAUGCAGUGCAAGUGGUUCUGUGGACCACCUUGGCCACAUCAAGUUACCAGCAACAUUGAAGCACAGUGGAAGGCCAAAAGGAAGGGGGCAGACUGUUAUCGGUCUUCCCACAAAACGAAGGAGCACACGUCCAGUUCCAUUCACUAAGAAGGCACCUGCUGAUCGUGCAAAAAUCAUGCUUGGAUGGCUUGUGGAUAAUCGCAAUUUGGAAGCUGCAAUCAAUGGCGCCAAGAUUUCUCAACACAUGGUUGAGGUAUUGCCAAAAAAGGUGUCCUCGGCAAUUUUAGAUGAUGCCUGCAGUUUGGCAGAGAUAAAGCCAUACUUUGAUGAUGAUGCCUGGCUCUCUGUAAUGUCAUUAGUAGAAAUGAAGAAGAGAAAACCGGUAUGGUUCGGUCCCGCGUGCAAAAAACUUAUUGGCAAGGCGUAUUCAGUGUGUUGCGAUUCCUGUCUGGAAUGGAAACAUCUGAAAUGUGCAUGUCUUGAUGGUUUGCCCAAAUCAAGGGCAUGGUUUUGCAGAGACUGCCACCAAUAAUGGAUGACACCCUUGUUGCCACUUCAUUUUUGUAUUUCUAUUGCAAUAAAACUACCCAUAGUGUUUUGAAAACAUAGUUCUAAUUUUGGCCUUUGAAGCAUGUACGAACCAUGCAACUUGUAAAGCCACUGGCAUUGCUACCAUCGUGGUCCCUCUGUCAGAAUCAUUGUUGUGGCAAGAAUAAGUUGUAAUAAAUAUUCAUUUCAUUUGCAUUAAUAUGGCUAUUUGUGUGCUUUGAUAACCAAUCUGGAUUUGUUCUGUACAUGUACAGCAGGCAAGCUUUUAUGAACAGCAAUUUAAAAAAUGCAUUACUUUACAAGCAUGAUGUUUGUAGACUGAUGCAGAGAUGGCACACGUAUUUGCAUCUGAGCAGCAAUUUCAGCCUGUUAACUGUCAAGCUAACAUCGCCAGAAUCUAAAUGCCUUUAUGACAGUCAAGUUAGAAGUGGGUUAAAGUGGGUUUCGAACCUAUGUGAACGAAGUUAUCUCUGCGCGUUUACGGCUCCGUUUUGUGGCUUCCACUUACUGAGCUGAAAAAACAACAUGGCAGGUGAGAAAAACUUGUUUGGGGGCUAUGGGCUUCAGCGCAUAGCAUACGAUUCUGGUCUAAAGCUAAAGCGCUAUACGAAGUCUAUUUUGCGCUGUCCCCUGGUACACAAAAU